AGGGACUCUAGUAUCCAGAGUACCCAGGGGCCUCUCUGCCAGGGGACAUGGGAAGGGAGGCAUGGGGCGUGAUCACAACAUGAGGUGACUGUUUAUGUAAAACUGUAUGACAGUGAAAGACACACUGCCACGAAUCCCCUCCAGAUCUGCUCCUCCCUUCACACACACUCAUCCCAUCGUCCUCUGCAGCAGCUCUGGAGUCCUCCUUCCUGAGGGUCUUUACCAGCUGUGAUCAAAAUACAGUGUCUGCUGCUGCCGAGCGCCAUCCAGCAGAAAGGCAGCUCAUAAACACACAAUGCUGCAUCCUCAUCCGCCUUAGUCACCGGAUCUGGCACCGUGUGACUCCUGGCUCUUCCCCAAAGUCACAAUGACCAUGACAGGACUCGUUAUGAAUCCAUUCAGGACACUGAGGCAGCCAGGACAGUGCAGCUAAAGACCAUGAAAUCCCUACCUCACGCCAUACACCCAAGCCAUAUGGAACUGCAGUGGUCACUACUUUCGGUCUCCAGUUUCUUACAAGGUGACCCCUCUGCCUGACCAACAGCCACCCCCUUUAACCUCAAAGAGAGUUUUGUGUUGUUUCUUCUUUUGUUUUGUUUGUUUGCUUGUUUGUUUUUUUGACACAAGGUCUCACUAUAUAGUUUAGGCUGGUUUUGAACUCACUAUGUAGCCCAGGCUGGCCUCAAACUCACAGCAAUCCUCCUGCCUCACCCUCCUGAGUGCUGAGAUUACAAGUGUGCACCACCAUGCCUGGCUAAUUAUUUUGUUGUUGUUUGGUUGGUUUUUUUCCUCUUCUUUGAAGCGUCCUCUGAUCAUUCAUUUCUUCAUCAAAUGUUUGCUGGAUUCCACAAUGUUUGGCACUUUCCAAGUGCCGGAAACCAUGACUCAGACACGGGUUAAUCCUGCUGCCUUUCUGCUCUUUAUUUGUGUUCCUGCAUGUUAUGUAGAGAGGCAGUGACUUAAGCCAAAGUGACAUAACAGCUCAGAGGGAGUGAGGUCCAUGGGGUGAGUUAGGGACAACCUUUGAAAUCACACCUUCCUGAUUGGAAAAAAAUACCAGAAAAUGCCACCCACCCACUGUCACUAAGCAGUUGUUGACAGCUAUUUAUUGUUUAUCUCAAGGGGCUGGGAUCUCAAGGCUUGCACCCCCACCUGCUCUGUCUCCUGUUUGUUAUGAUUUCUCCAUUGCCAGCAGCCACUGUCCUACGGCCAGGAAACGAAUAUUUCGCACUUUGCUGGAAGGGACAAAAGAAUUUAGGGCCCAAAAUAGAAGUCAGAUUGUUACAUUGUCCUGAAUAAGAGUGUGUGAGUGGUUGCCAGGGAUCCAAAAACGAUGAGAAUGGAUAUUGUGUUUUGCUGCUGGACAGUAAAAAUAUUAUUUUUGGACGGUGUGCUGUGGCUACUCCCUGACUGCACACCAGGAAGUAAAAUGCUGGGGUAAUGUGCACGUAGCGUUGAGAGGCAGAGGGGUCAGAAGACCAUCAGGCGGUGGUGCUGGCUGCUCUGCGUGGAGGCCGAUCUGGGCGCCUGGGAACCGUGGGCCGAGCCCUGUCCACAGAGCCCACACCCAGUCCCCGUGACCAGGUUCCAGGCCCCCGCUGCUCCUGGUGGCUGCUCCCUAGGGCGGCCGGGAUGUCCUCCAACGUGGCCCCCAGGCAGCGGUCUGGGCAGGCAGGGCCAGCAGGGGACUUGAGGACGACGGUGGACAUGAGCUGCCACCGAAGGCCACACCCACAAGAGGACAGAGAAGCCGGCAGUGACACCCACAGCGGGGAGGCAGCCAGCGUCUGCGGAGGCCUUUCCCGUCCUCAGCCCCAGGGCCUGACGCCCGGAGACAUCGUAAAAGCGAUCCCUCAGCAACCCCCGGAACUUGCUGUGCACCAGGUGGCCAUCCAGUGGUUACCAUCAAAUCUCGCUUAAUCUUCCCUGCAGCUCCACGGGGCAGGGUCUUGCUGAAUUGCCAAGUUGCCAGGCUCAAUCCUCCUGCCUCAGCCUCCCAGCGUGCUAGGAUAAGAGGUGUGUGUCACCACGCCCGAGCCCCAAUUGCUCCUGAACCCCUAUUCGCACCAACAGAGAAGGAAGCUGUGUUUUCCAGAGGGAGCCAGGCCAUAAUUCUACACCACCAAACUCCGACAAAAGUCCCUGAGUCUGAGGCCUGCUCCGGGAAAAUCAGCAUGUACCUGUGGAAGCUGCUCUGCUGGUCAUCUCUGCUUCCUUCCAGGGCAAUGAUGAGGUCUGGAGGUGAGAGAUUCCUGCUUCGGACCCUCAGAUGAGUCUACACAGUGGGCUCCUCGGGCUCAGCUCAGAGACUCUCGAGCACUAGGCAUGGGAGCCCGGCCGUGAGCAACGAAGUCUAAGCGGACAUGGGACACUUCAGGGCGGGGACAUCAAGGUGGAGACUGAGGACCAGGACAAGCCAAGGUUAUGCAGGAUAAGGAGGCGGAAACAGGAGUAAGUUCCUGAACCAGGCAUGGUGCCAUGUAGCUGUCCCAGCACUCCAGGAGGCUGAGGCAGGAGGGUCCCAAGCUUGAGCCUAGUUUACGGAACAUAGCAAGAUCCUGUCUCAAAAUAGGACAGAAAAACGGGCUGGGGAAGUAACUCCGUUGGACAGCCAGAAUUCCUUCUCUGGGCUCCAUCUCCCCAGGGAAUGCUGUCAUCAGACCACUCACCUCUCACCUACGCUGGACAGGCUGACUUCAGACGGAUUGGUGACACAGCACUGUUUCAAGCCAGCAGACUUUAAAUACAGGCGCGCUGUGCAUUAAACAGGAAGUUCCAAUGCUGUGCAUAGGGAGGGCAGGAAAAAUGGCCAGGGUGCUUCUCUGCUUCUCUUUACAGAAUCUCAGGGAAGCUGGCUUAAACUGGUGUUAGGGUUUGGAUCUAAACAGUCCCACCAAAUUUUCAGCUUUGCAGGUGGGGCCUGGUGAAAGAGGUGGCCUGGGGCGGGGCCUGGAAGAGUUUAUCUCCCUCCUGGCUCCACCCUCUCUCUCCACUUCCUAUCCACCGUGAUGAGCAGCUCUCCUCCGCCAGGCCCCUCUGCCAGGCCAGCUGGCCUUGAAGCAGCCAACUGUGGACUGAAGCAUAAGCCAAAAUAAAC